UACGUAGGGUGCGAGCGUUGUCCGGAAUUACUGGGCGUAAAGGGCGCGUAGGCGGCCUUCUAAGUCGAACGUGAAAUCCCCGGGCUCAACCCGGGAACUGCGUCCGAUACUGGAAGGCUUGAAUCCGGGAGAGGGAUGCGGAAUUCCAGGUGUAGCGGUGAAAUGCGUAGAUAUCUGGAGGAACACCGGUGGCGAAGGCGGCAUCCUGGACCGGUAUUGACGCUGAGGCGCGAAAGCCAGGGGAGCAAACAGG
rnacentral:rRNA from 1 species